rnacentral:rRNA from 1 species
CCUACGGGCGGCUGCAGUAGGGAAUCUUCGGCAAUGGACGAAAGUCUGACCGAGCAACGCCGCGUGAGUGAAGAAGGUUUUCGGAUCGUAAAACUCUGUUGGUAGAGCAGAACGUUGGUGAGAGUGGAAAGCUCAUCAAGUGACGGUAACUACCCAGAAAGGGACGGCUAACUACGUGCCAGCAGCCGCGGUAAUACGAAGGUCUCGAGCGUUUUCCGGAUUUAUUGGGAGUAAAGCGAGCGCAGGUGGUUUAGUAAGUCUGGUGUGAAAGGCACUGUCUCAGCCAUUGUAUGCAUUCGAAACUGGUAGACUUGAGUGCAAGAGAGGAGAGUGGAAUUCCAUGUGUAGCGGUGAAAUGCGUAGAUAUAUGGAGGAACACCGGUGGCGAAAGCGGCUCUCUGGUCUGUAACUGACACUGAGGAUCGAAAGCGUGGGGAGCAAACAGGAUUAGAUACCCCUGUAGUC